rfam:Picea glauca, whole genome shotgun sequence.
GCGGGGAUAGCUUAGUUGGGAGAGCGUCAGACUGAAGAUAGGUCGCGUGUAUGAUCCACGCUCACCACA